AGAGUUUGAUCCUGGCUCAGGAUGAACGCUAGCUACAGGCUUAACACAUGCAAGUCGAGGGGCAGCAUGGUCUUAGCUUGCUAAGGCCGAUGGCGACCGGCGCACGGGUGAGUAACACGUAUCCAACCUGCCGUCUACUCUUGGACAGCCUUCUGAAAGGAAGAUUAAUACAAGAUGGCAUCAUGAGUCCGCAUGUUCACAUGAUUAAAGGUAUUCCGGUAGACGAUGGGGAUGCGUUCCAUUAGAUAGUAGGCGGGGUAACGGCCCACCUAGUCUUCGAUGGAUAGGGGUUCUGAGAGGAAGGUCCCCCACAUUGGAACUGAGACACGGUCCAAACUCCUACGGGAGGCAGCAGUGAGGAAUAUUGGUCAAUGGGCGAGAGCCUGAACCAGCCAAGUAGCGUGAAGGAUGACUGCCCUAUGGGUUGUAAACUUCUUUUAUAAAGGAAUAAAGUCGGGUAUGGAUACCCGUUUGCAUGUACUUUAUGAAUAAGGAUCGGCUAACUCCGUGCCAGCAGCCGCGGUAAUACGGAGGAUCCGAGCGUUAUCCGGAUUUAUUGGGUUUAAAGGGAGCGUAGAUGGAUGUUUAAGUCAGUUGUGAAAGUUUGCGGCUCAACCGUAAAAUUGCAGUUGAUACUGGAUAUCUUGAGUGCAGUUGAGGCAGGCGGAAUUCGUGGUGUAGCGGUGAAAUGCUUAGAUAUCACGAAGAACUCCGAUUGCGAAGGCAGCCUGCUAAGCUGCAACUGACAUUGAGGCUCGAAAGUGUGGGUAUCAAACAGGAUUAGAUACCCUGGUAGUCCACACGGUAAACGAU
rnacentral:rRNA from 1 species